ACUUCUUUAAGACCCUGCCUUGAAGUGCACAAAUGAGUACUUGAACUAGAAUCAAGAAUCCAACUAGAAGAAGAGGAAACUGUUAGGUUAGUUUCUAUAACAAGCAACUCAGAUGUACCUUCAGAAGGCCCAUCUUUCUUCCUGUUCUUGACAGUUGCCAGAUAGGUCGGACAGUUUCUUCUCCAGUGGCCUUCGACAUUACAAUGAAAAUAUUUUUUUUUAUCAUCGGCCUU
rnacentral:lncRNA from 1 species